rnacentral:rRNA from 1 species
UGGUGGAGUGAUUUGUCUGCUUAAUUGCGAUAACGAACGAGACCUCGGCCUGCUAAAUAGUUAUGUCAAGCUUCUACCGGGUGAAGCUGUAGGGCAGGGCUCUUUGAGGGAAACCUUGGGGAGCCCCUCUGCAGUGGAUCCUUGAAGCGUUGAUAGUCAACUUCUUAGAGGUACAAUUUACGUUAAGUAAGGGAAGAUCGAGGCAAUAACA